rnacentral:rRNA from 1 species
UACAGAGGUCUCAACCGUUGUUCGGAUUCAUUGGGCGUAAAAGGGUGCGUAGGCGGCGGGGUAAGUCAGGUGUGAAAUCUCGGGGCUCAACCCCCGAAACUGCACUUGAUACUGCCUCGCUUGAGUACUGGAGAGGAGACUGGAAUUUACGGUGUAGCAGUGAAAUGCGUAGAUAUCGUAAGGAAGACCAGUGGCGAAGGCGAGUCUCUGGACAGUUACUGACGCUGAGGCACGAAGGCCAGGGGAGCAAACGGG